AACGAACGCUGGCGGCAUGCCUAACACAUGCAAGUCGAACGAGACCUUCGGGUCUAGUGGCGCACGGGUGCGUAACGCGUGGGAACCUGCCCUUAGGUUCGGAAUAACUCCCCGAAAGGGGUGCUAAUACCGGAUAAUGUCUUCGGACCAAAGAUUUAUCGCCUUUGGAUGGGCCCGCGUUGGAUUAGCUAGUUGGUAGGGUAUAAGCCUACCAAGGCGACGAUCCAUAGCUGGUCUGAGAGGAUGAUCAGCCACACUGGGACUGAGACACGGCCCAGACUCCUACGGGAAGCAGCAGUGGGGAAUAUUGGACAAUGGGCGAAAGCCUGAUCCAGCAAUGCCGCGUGAGUGAUGAAGGCCUUAGGGUUGUAAAGCUCUUUUACCCGGGAUGAUAAUGACAGUACCGGGAGAAUAAGCUCCGGCUAACUCCGUG
rnacentral:rRNA from 1 species